CCCUCCUUUUCCUCCCAACCUUUUCGGUCUAGAAACUUCUGCCUUUCACAGAUACUUCAUAGACUCUUUCUCUCUCCGCAUGAAGUCUUUGAAUUGAAAUUCUCUCUAUGCAAUAUUUAGGGAUUAUGCAAGCUUGAAGAAACAUGAUUUGAUAAAACCAGAACGUGUUUACUUGUCAAAAAAAAGGUCAGAGUCACAUUAAUUUUGCUUGAAUCUUGACGAAUAGAGGAAGUUCUGUUCAUCAAAGAAAUCUUACAAGUUUUACAGUGGAAAGAAUCACAUAAUAGCCAAGCAAACCACUUAUCAAACACAAAGAUCCAAGCGCCAGAGCAUCCCAGUGAGAGCUGAUCUUUCCUUUAGAGCAUUUUCAGAGUUAGCAAGCUAGCUGCACGGUGUCCGCAGCCUUGCCUUUCUCUUUCCUAUCUAUUAGUAUUUAUUUUUAUCAGACUCAUCUUGUAUUGAGCAUGCAGUGUCAGAUUGUAUUUUAGUGACUCAUGACUAGUGACACCGGGGUCGGGCAGUGUUUGAUGUUUUGCAUAUUUGUUUCCGCUUGUUUUGAAAUGUUUUAAAUGAAAGAUUUGUGAUAAUAUCUGAUUAGUAAAUGAAUUAAGAAAAA